rnacentral:rRNA from 1 species
GUGAGGAAUUUUGCGCAAUGGGGGAAACCCUGACGCAGCAACGCCGCGUGAGUGAUGAAGGCCUUCGGGUCGUAAAGCUCUGUCAAGUGGGAAGAACCUGCUCUGUGAUAACACCACGGGGCACCGACGGUACCACUGAAGGAAGCACCGGCUAACUCCGUGCCAGCAGCCGCGGUAAUACGGGGGGUGCUAGCGUUAUUCGGAAUCAUUGGGCGUAAAGGGCGCGUAGGCGGUCUUUUAAGUCAGAUGUGAAAGCCCUCGGCUUAACCGAGGAAGUGCAUUUGAUACUAAGAGACUUGAGUAUGGGAGAGGGAAGCGGAAUUCCUGGUGUAGCGGUGAAAUGCGUAGAUAUCAGGAGGAACACCGGUGGCGAAGGCGGCUUCCUGGACCAAUACUGACGCUGAGGCGCGAAGGCGUGGGGAGCAAACAGGAUUAGAAACCCUAGUAGUCC